GUCUGUGGCCAAGCCACCCUGAACUUACCUGAUCUCGUCUGAUCUUGGAAGCUAAGCAAGGUCGAGCCUGGUUAGUACUUAGAUGAGAGACCACCUAGGAAGACCAGGUGCUGUAGGUG
rnacentral:rRNA from 1 species